rnacentral:rRNA from 1 species
GAUGAACGCUGGCGGCGUGCCUAAUACAUGCAAGUCGAGCGGACGGACGCGAAGCUUGCUUCUCUGAUGUUAGCGGCGGACGGGUGAGUAACACGUGUAUACCCUACCUAUCAGACUGGGAUAACUUCGGGAAACCGGCGCUAAUACCGGAUAAUAUUUUGCACCGCAUGGUUCAAAAGUGAAAUACGGUCUUGCUGUCACUUAUAGAUGGUUCCGGGCUGCAUUAGCUGGUUGUUAAGGUAACGGCUUACCAAGGCAACGCUGCCUGUCCGACUGGAGGGGGGGAUAGGCGCCACUGGAGCGUAGACGGGGUCCAGGGGCCUACGAGAGGGACCAGUAGGCAAUCGGCGGCAAUGGGCGAAAGCCUUGCGGAGCAACCCCGCGUGAGAGAUGAAGAUCUCCGGAGCGUAAAACCCUGCUACUAGGUAAGAACAGAUGUGUAAGUAACUGUGCACAGCUUGACGGUACCUAAUCAGAAAGCCACGGCUAACUACGUG